AUUCCUACGGGAGGCAGCAGUAGGGAAUAUUGCACAAUGGGCGAAAGCCUGAUGCAGCAAUGCCGCGUGUGUGAAGAAGGCCUUAGGGUUGUAAAGCACUUUCAAUAGUGAAGAAAAGCACGAGGAUAAUACCCUUGUGUCAUGACGUUAACUAUACAAGAAGCACCGGCUAACUCCGUGCCAGCAGCCGCGGUAAUACGGAGGGUGCAAGCGUUAAUCGGAAUUACUGGGCGUAAAGCGCGCGUAGGCGGUUUUGUAAGUCGGAUGUGAAAGCCCAGGGCUUAACCCUGGAAUUGCAUUUGAUACUGCAUGACUAGAGUAUGGUAGAGGGAAGUGGAAUUUCAAGUGUAGCGGUGAAAUGCGUAGAUAUUUGAAGGAACACCAGUGGCGAAGGCGACUUCCUGGGCCAAUACUGACGCUGAGGUGCGAAAGCGUGGGGAGCGAACAGGAUUAGAUACCCUGGUAGUCCACGCCGUAAACGAUGAGAACUAGAUGUUGGGAGGGUUACCUUUCAGUGUCGCAGCUAACGCGUUAAGUUCUCCGCCUGGGGAGUACGUCGGCAACGAUAAAACUCAAAGGAAUUGACGGAAU
rnacentral:rRNA from 1 species